CCUACGGGUGGCAGCAGUAGGGAAUAUUGCGCAAUGGGGGAAACCCUGACGCAGCAACGCCGCGUGGAGGAUGAAGGUUUUCGGAUUGUAAACUCCUGUUGUUAGAGAAGAUAAUGACGGUAUCUAACGAAUAAGCACUGGCUAACUCCGUGCCAGCAGCCGCGGUAAUACGGAGGGUGCAAGCGUUACUCGGAAUCACUGGGCGUAAAGAGCGCGUGGGCGGGAUAGCAAGUAAGAUGUGAAAUCCUAUGGCUUAACCAUAGAACUGCAUUUGAAACUGUUAUUCUAGAGUAUGGGAGAGGUAGGUGGAAUUCCUGGUGUAGCGGUAAAAUGCGUAGAGAUCAAGAGGAAUACUCAUUGCGAAGGCGACCUGCUAGAACAUAACUGACGCUGAUGCGCGAAAGCGUGGGGAGCAAACAGGAUUAGAUACCCCUGUAGUC
rnacentral:rRNA from 1 species